rnacentral:rRNA from 1 species
GCAGUGGGGAAUAUUGCACAAUGGGCGCAAGCCUGAUGCAGCGACGCCGCGUGGGGGAUGACGGCCUUCGGGUUGUAAACCUCUUUCACCAUCGACGAAGCCCUUUGGGGUGACGGUAGGUGGAGAAGAAGCACCGGCCAACUACGUGCCAGCAGCCGCGGUAAUACGUAGGGUGCGAGCGUUGUCCGGAAUUACUGGGCGUAAAGGGCUUGUAGGUGGUUUGUCGCGUUGUUCGUGAAAUGCCACAGCUUAACUGUGGGCGUGCGGGCGAUACGGGCAGACUGGAGUACUGCAGGGGAGACUGGAAUUCCUGGUGUAGCGGUGGAAUGCGCAGAUAUCAGGAGGAACACCGGUGGCGAAGGCGGGUCUCUGGGCAGUAACUGACGCUGAGGAGCGAAAGCGUGGGGAGCGAACAGGAUUAGAUACCCUAGUAGUCCAC